CGGCUCUGAGGAACCUCUCAGUGAGAUGAUGUGAGAGCUGGAGGUGUUAGACACUGCUCGGGAUGGCUCCUGUCGACUCGCGACGCUAACGUGCAGUUUUGUCGGUUGUGUGUGUGCUGACCAGGAAUCUUCCUCAUCAUGUCCUCCAAGUCAUCUCUGCUUAAGGUGAUCCUACUGGGGGAUGGAGGUGUGGGCAAGUCCUCCCUCAUGAAUCGCUACGCUUCGGAAGAUCGGCACGAGCAUCUGCUGCCAACAGAUACUGUGGAUUUGCACCGGAAAAAACCACGCUCCAGCACCCGCUGCUGUUGAUUGCGUGUAAUGACUUUGAACAUUUUGUAGGGGAGUUUCACUGAUUUUUCAACAUGUAUACAAGUUUCAGUUGUUGUAGUUUGUUGCAGAGAAACGUGCAGAAUGGACAGUGAUGCUGAUUCAAUCCAAUGUUUUAUAUUUUUGAUCAGAUGCACAAUUUCUACGUAGCGACCUAUUUUUACUGACCCUUUUUGCAAAGGAUUUGAUACUCUUCAAAUAUUACAAUGAUACAAAUACACCAGAAACACCCAGCAGAACACUAUAUGAGUCUUCAGCGCUAUG
rnacentral:lncRNA from 1 species